rnacentral:lncRNA from 1 species
CUUACUGCAAUAAUAUUGCGAAAUCAUCAUAAAAGCAAUAGCAUUUUUUUUUUUCUCCAACAAAAAACCAUAUUACACACAUAUAAAGUCUACUUUCAUUCUUUAAUACAAACCAUACUUAAAACGUGUCAUUACUAGGUGACAUAUAACAAAACAUAUAACUAGGCCAUCCCCAGGUCAAAGUAGCCAUAUGUACAUCAUCGAGGCGAGGUUCUGCUUCAGCUCGGUCCCACUUCUAUUUAUGUUUAUCUUUACCCUUUCCUGCAACACAAGAAAACUAUGAGCUACGUCGCUCAGUAAGUAAAGUAACUGAAGAUAAUUUAACACACAUAAGUAAUUCAACAUGUAUAAGUGCAUUCCAUCUUAUCUUUAUUAUUUAUGAACCUUGACACUUUAAAUUAGUGCACCAUGUUGACACAUUUGCCUGCAGGGCUUUCGUAUAACAUAAUAUCCCAUGGGAAACCUCCUCAGGCGCCAUUACCAACAGAGUGGCUCGUUGUAUACCUUAUUCUAUCGUUGCCCCGUCGAGCUCAAGACCUAAGGCGGCCUUGCUCUGUGGUAUCUGAUCACAUAGAUCUUAACAACAUAGAGGAGGCAAGAUCAACUCAUAUUCGAUAAUCGAACCUGGCCUGCCCUUAAAGGGCUACCCUUACAAGCCUACAAA